AUGUUUCGAGUUGGUGGACACGACUGGCGUAUCAGGUGCUACCCGAACGGCGAAGAGGGAUACGAGGGCUUCAUCGGCCUAUACCUCGAGCACGCCAGCCUUGACCGCACCGGUGACGCCACACCGGAUUUCCGCAUGAGCAUCCUUGACCACACCGGGAAGCUAUUGUGGACCGAAGGUCAUGCCCAAUUGUCGGAAGAAAUCGAUGAUGAGAGCAAAGGUGAUGCUCAAACUUUCUCGAUCGGCAAAGGUAUCAUGUGGGGCUGGAGUGAUUUCAUGAAGGUUGAAGACCUGGACGACAAGAAGCACCUCAAGGACGGAUCUCUGAUAAUCGUCUGUGACGUCACCGUCCUUGACAUGCGCACCAUCGAGUACCGUGACGGGAUGGCAUCCACGACUACAACUGUGCCACCAUCGGAGCUGCACCGAGAACCAACGGAGGUCCGCUCAGAGUCCAAAGAGGGGGCUAACCCUGACAUGGAGAUACAGGUCGGCGGGGUGACCUUCCCGGCGAACAGGUCGAUGCUCGCUGCCCGGUCUCCUGUCUUCAAGGAGGAAUUGAUGCCAACAAGUAUACGUGUCGAUGGAAUUGAUGCCGACGUAUUCAAGGCCCUGCUCUACUUCAUCUACACCGACAAGUUGCCGCAAGAGAUAGAGGAGGAAGGGACGUUGGCCAAGAUGGCGAAGCCGCUGCUCGUGGCAGCAGACAGGUACAAGCUGGAGAAGUUGAAGCUGGUCUCCGAGGAGGCGUUGUGCGGGCAAAUCGAUAUGGAAUCCGUGGCCAACACACUAGCGUUAGCGGAGCAGCAUUGUUGCAGCAUGCUGAAGGACGCUUGCACGCAGUUUCUCGCUGACUUCUCGUUCUAA
rnacentral:rRNA from 1 species